rnacentral:misc_RNA from 1 species
GUUUGCCAUGUUCAAGGACAUGCUAUGAAGCAGAAGCACAAACAUCAGAACGUUAAUAUUGCAAAAUAAUAAUGCAUAACUAAAAUAUUAACAAUAACUCAGAAAAACACACAAAAAUAAAACUCUUGAAGUCUUAAAAGUAACAAAAUAAGUUCAUCAGAUGCACAAUGAGGAUAUUUAAACGUUAAACAUGAAACAUGAGACCUAGCAGGAUUCAUAAAAAAUAUGAGGUGCCUAAAACAAUUGACCAAAACAAUCCAAAGACAAGAAGAAACUCAAUCAUUAAAUUACAUAAAUCCUUGGUUCCAGAAUACUAGAAUAAAAAAUAAACACAGAUCCAAUGAAAACUUAGAGAAAGUUCCAAGGGAAAGAAAAUAUAUUCCUUAGUGGUAAUCAUGUGAAUAAUGUUAGUUAUAGCAUUCCAGAGGCACAUGAUACUUUCAGUUAUGCCUCAUAGUAUCAAAUACAAGAAUAUACAUAAUUAUAUUUGCACAUCAGAUCCAACUAAUUAUUAAACAGGAUAAAGACAUAUGGCAGAAUCAUCAAGGAGGGCAACCUGACCACAUCAGCUGCCAAUAAUAAAAUUUAUAUGCCACACCCAAGUAGGGUUAAUGUCAAUGUGGUACAUUCAUUCUUCAACAUGGUUAUGCAGAAUAGAUAUCAAGAUGUAUAAUCUUAUGAAACUGACUUGAAAUGACAAGCUUUUGCAGAAAAAUGUGGUCUUAACAGAAACUACGAAUUACUUAUGUUAUAAACAGAUUGCUGUUGCUUAUUUUUUAAUUCUUGUAUUCUUAUAACAUAUGACUUCAUCUGCUCAAGGAUAUCAAUUUCUUGAUAUUCUUCAAAUGAAAAAUAUAUAUUGGUAUUGUUAAAUCUUAAAAGUAACAUCCGGCAGAACAUCAAAGCCUACAUGAAACCAACACAAACACCUUUAAAGUCUAGAGUGAAGCAUAAUAUAGCGCAGCCUAUAAGCAUGAUAUAGCGUGGAUAAACAAGGUUGAGGUCAGUAAAAUGAAUCAUUAAUAUGAUGUGUUCAUAGAGUCAGUUUGAGAAUGAGCAAAUUAUUGCUCAGCAUUUUUUCUUGCAUUUAUAGAUCUGGACAUCAAGUAGAAAUAAAAAAGUCCUCUUAAAGAUUAAAAUUGUUGUGGUAUUUGGUCAUUAGCAUGUAGUACCGCAUCAACCAGCCAACCCUAUACCACAAGUACAAAGGAUCUAAUUCCCCCAUCAAAUACAUGUGUAGGAG